rnacentral:miRNA from 1 species
UCUGAGUAAAGGCACGUUCGG